rnacentral:rRNA from 1 species
UACGUAGGGUGCAAGCGUUAUUCGGAAUUACUGGGCGUAAAGCGUGCGCAGGCGGUGAUGUAAGUCAGAUGUGAAAUCCCCGGGCUCAACCUGGGAACUGCAUUUGAGACUGCAUCGCUGGAGUGCGGCAGAGGGGGAUGGAAUUCCGCGUGUAGCAGUGAAAUGCGUAGAUAUGCGGAGGAACACCGAUGGCGAAGGCAAUCCCCUGGGCCUGCACUGACGCUCAUGCACGAAAGCGUGGGGAGCAAACAGG